GCCGCAGGGGCUGUUGCGGCAGGGUGGGUUCAUGACCCAUCCGGUGUUCCAUGCCCAUCGGUCCGAGACCGACAUGCUGCGC
rnacentral:tRNA from 1 species